GCAGCUCUUCCACAGGUGAUUUAGAUUGGCCUCCUAAUUAUUGUGGGAGAAUCAAACGAAGGAAGAAGUAUUUUCGGCGUUUUGCUUCGGUAUUUUAACUUCUGAUACAGUGAUGUACGGUAUUUUGCCCUCUUCUAUUCGCUGCGUGUCUUACUGACAGUUGCUGUUUUUUCCACAAGCCUGUGGAUUUUGAGGUUGGAGUAUUCUGCCAGUGAUUUAGUUUUUCUUUCAUUCUAUUAAAAAUAUAUUAAGUAAUAAAUAAACGAAGCAGACAGCCCGCGAACGCCGAAGGCAAAGGAACGAUUGGGAUGACCCUGGCCAAAGGGGUUAAUCUUCCAACAGAGGAACCCUUAUGGAAUCGGAGCAGGGUCAGACCUGGGUCAGACCUGGGACAGCCGCACGUGGAAAACUCCUCCAGCUCCAUGGAGUCUUUAUUACACACCGUCAGGGCCUUUGUGAAGGAUCAUGGCGUGAACGCAAAGCAGGGCAAACAAGGCCUACGGAGAAGGCUUCCCGACUCUCUCCUUCACAGCGAGAACAGCGGAUUCCCUCUGGGGGUUGUUAAAACGGAGUGCCUAUGGUGAACUAGCAGGCAGACUGUUUUCCCUCCGUCGGCUCAGAAGCAAUGUGCCCUUGCUGCUAUCUACAAUCUACAGCGCUUUGGCGGUGGCCUGUAGGAAUUGACGGGGAUUAAAAGAGAUGCUGAUCUCGGGGAACUCAGAAGAACUCGGGUGAGCAAAGAAAGAUGCUACUCCAUCAUGAGCCUGACGAGGAGGGACAGGCUGGGUUCCAGGGGUCGGUCCCUCCCCCUGUUUGGGGCCUGAACAUUAAGGUAGAGGAUAAAUCAUCGCUAGCUUCCAGUUUCCCAGCUUCUAUAAAGAAUAACACCCAGACAGAGCAGUGAGAUCGUUAUUUGGUCAAAAGGGCAUGUAAGCUUGACCCUUUUGUGUUUUUUUCCCCCCACUGAAACAUUCGGACUCAGUCGAUUCUUCGCAGCGUUGGAUAUUGUUGAGGCACUGAGGAUUGUUACGUCACUGUUUGCUUGGCAGACCCCCUGUGGGACUGCCUACACAGUUUACAUAGUUCAUUUUACACAGUAAAUUAAGCAUGCCAUCGAUUCAUUCAGACGGUUCUAUAUCAAUGCAAUUUGGCUUAAGCACCUUGUUCAAGGCUGAAACAACAAGGCUCCACUUGUGAACGGAGAUUUUGAAAAAAUAACAUUUAUUUGAGCUCACUGCUCUACAACUCAGCACUACCUCCAAUAUCCAUUUAAAAAUUGAGAACAGACCCAA